CAGUCGCCGCGGGAAUACAGAGGGUGCAAGCGUUAAUCGGAAUUACUGGGCGUAAAGCGCGCGUAGGUGGUUUGUUAAGUUGGAUGUGAAAGCCCCGGGCUCAACCUGGGAACUGCAUCCAAAACUGGCAAGCUAGAGUACGGUAGAGGGUGGUGGAAUUUCCUGUGUAGCGGUGAAAUGCGUAGAUAUAGGAAGGAACACCAGUGGCGAAGGCGACCACCUGGACUGAUACUGACACUGAGGUGCGAAAGCGUGGGGAGCAAACAGGAUUAGAUACCCGAGUAGUCCCUGUCUCUUAUAC
rnacentral:rRNA from 1 species